AUACUCGGUAGGUAGCACAUACACCAAAGUUGGAAUAUUGCAGAGACGAUUAGCAUAGCUCCUGCGAAAGGAUGGCUGGCAAAUUCGUAGAGCAUUCCCUGUUUAC